GUGACUUUAAUGUUUAACGGCCGCGGUAUUUUGACCGUGCAAAGGUAGCGCAAUCACUUGUCUUUUAAAUGGAGACCUGUAUGAAUGGCAUCACGAGGGCUUAACUGUCUCCUCUCUUUAGCCAAUGAAAUUGAUCUCCCCGUGCAGAAGCGGGGAUAAAAACAUAAGACGAGAAGACCCUAUGGAGCUUUAGACACCAAGACAGCUUAUGUUAAACAUUCCUAAACAAAGGAUCAAACUAGAUAAACCCUGUCCUAAUGUCUUUGGUUGGGGCGACCUUGGGGAAAUAAACAACCCCCACGUGGAAUGGAAACAUGUUUCCAGAACCAAGAGCCACCGCUCUAAGAAGCAGAACUUCUGACCAGCUAGAUCCGGCAAAGCCGAUCAACGGACCGAGUUACCCUAGGGAUAACAGCGCAAUCCCCUUUUAGAGUCCCUAUCGACAAGGGGUUUACGACCUCGAUGUUGGAUCAGGACAUCCUAAUGGUGCAGCCGCUA
rnacentral:rRNA from 1 species